CCUGACUGCGUGCGAGAACAUUUUGAAUUAUCUGGCACGAGGCAUCACACGUCAAACUUCAACUGACACAACGGUCUCGGUGAAGGGAAUAAGCAAAAGCUCCUUUAAAUUUCGUCAUUUUUUAUACACAUCCCGUUUAUUUUGUAGUUAAUUGUUAGAUAAGUAAGUAAUUUCGUCAAGUUUUCGUUACAGAGUAAGAUUUCGUUAUCAUCGUUACCAUAUACAGUAUUUAUAUUGGUUCAAGAGCGCAGUUUGAUAACUCAUUCAAGCCUUUAAACAUCUAAACAUGUCCUCCAAAAAGGUAUCCUGUGCUGUUUUGCUCCAUUUUACAGAACAAAAUAAGGCUGAGGUAGCACCAUCCUUGUGGUUAGAGUGAAAGAAUGUGGGUAUUGAGACCAAAAUAAAUAAUGUGCCAUUCUGGACAAACAGCUGUGGACAAUAUAAGCAGUCAGAGUAGCCCAUUUUCUCACACAGAUGAGGAGCAACCAGUAAGAAAAAGCAAAAAGAUGUUUUGAUGUUGCCUGAGGCACCUUAUUCACAUCAGUCAAUUUCUUCCAAUAAUGAAUCAAGAAAUCCUGGAGUGGAGAAUCAUUCUGAAAGUAGACCAAAUACAGGACAACACCACAGCAGUGGUUGGAAAAAUGCAGCAGACAAUGAGCAAACCAAGCUGACUUUCAAAAGAUGAUUCGUUAUCUGUUUCUUCAAAGGGGAGGCAGUUUGGGAGAUGGGAAAUAGGAGGAUGCUACAGCUACACAGGGCGAAUUUCAGCAGCUCAGUUUCACACUUGCAACUAACAAUGAAUUAUAGUUAGAAGACAACGGAAAUAUUUGACAUGGGAGUCCAGCAGACAGCCAGAGACACGCACACACACGGAGCUGAAGCGCGUUUGACUGACGCGUACGGGAGC